UACGGUAGGGUGCGAGCGUUUGUCCGGAAUUAUUGGGCGUAAAGGGCUCGUAGGCGGUUUGUCGCGUCGGGAGUGAAAACUCAGGGCUUAACCCUGAGCCUGCUUCCGAUACGGGCAGACUAGAGGUAUGCAGGGGAGAACGGAAUUCCUGGUGUAGCGGUGAAAUGCGCAGAUAUCAGGAGGAACACCGGUGGCGAAGGCGGUUCUCUGGGCAUUACCUGACGCUGAGGAGCGAAAGUGUGGGGAGCGAACAGG
rnacentral:rRNA from 1 species